UACGUAGGGUGCAGGCGUUAAUCGGAAUUACUGGGCGUAAAGCGUGCGCAGGCGGUUUGCUAAGACAGGUGUGAAAUCCCCGGGCUUAACCUGGGAACUGCGCUUGUAACUGGCAAGCUAGAGUGUGGCAGAGGGGGGUGGAAUUCCAGGUGUAGCAGUGAAAUGCGUAGAGAUCUGGAGGAACACCGAUGGCGAAGGCAGCCCCCUGGGCUAACACUGACGCUCAUGCACGAAAGCGUGGGGAGCAAGCAGG
rnacentral:rRNA from 1 species